UACGUAGGGGGCAAGCGUUGUCCGGAUUUAUUGGGCGUAAAGCGCACGCAGGCGGUCUUUUACGUUUCGAGUGACAGGUGGUGGCUUAACCACCACAGGCCUUGGAAAACGGGAAGACUUGAGGGCUUCAGAGGGACGCGGAAUUCCAGGUGGAGCGGUGAAAUGCGUAGAGAUCUGGAAGAACACCAAAGGCGAAGGCAGCGUCCUGGGAAGUGACUGACGCUCAGGCACGAAAGCGUGGGGGAGCAAACAGGAUUGAGAAAC
rnacentral:rRNA from 1 species